GACGAACGCUGGCGGCGUGCUUAACACAUGCAAGUCGAACGGAAUGGAGCUGCUUUGGUGGGGUGCUCGAGUGGCGAACGGGUGAGUAACACGUGAGUAACUUGCCCGUGGCUUACGUAUAACUUCAGGAGACUGGGGCUAAUACAGUUUAUGAUCUUCCGCUGCAUGGUGGGGGUGCGAAAUUUUCGGCGGUGGGGGAUGGACUCGCGGCUGAUCAGCUUGUUGGUGGGGUAGUGGCUGACCAAGUCUUUGACGGGUAGCCGGGCUGAGAGGGGGAGAGGACCCACUGGGACUGAGAUGAGGCCCAGACUAAUAUCGGAGGGGAGGGUGGAGAAGAUGACACAGCAGGAGGGAGCCAAAUGCAGCGAAGCGGCGUGGGGGAUGACAGCCUGUAGGUUGGAAACCAAAUUCGCCUGUGAAGAAGAGUGAGUGACGGUAAUGGGUAAAGAAGCACCGGCUAACUACGUG
rnacentral:rRNA from 1 species